GGUUAAGCCAACAUUGGAUGCCAUGCCUUCCUGCAAGGGGAGUGAUUUUAACUAUGGCUAGAUUUGGUCCAUUAACGCUCCGUGAAGGAUUUGGGGUCUGUGUUCCUGAGGCUUAUCGGGCCAUGGCUUCUUUUCUUGUGAUGCCUUUGGCUGGAUUAUCCAGAUAAUUCUUCACCGAAUGAAUCGAGCUGCAGUCCCUCCGCUUCAGUUUUCGGAGUGGUUUGUGAAAGUUCCUUGGGCGGCGAAGGCCCGACCCCACCAGCUGUUUACAAUCCAUCAUCCAGCAGUUUCCAUGUGGUUGUCAUGCUGCUUGUGACGGGAAAGAGAAUCUCGGUGUCCAAAUACUGGACUUGCAGCUUCAUAAAUCAGGAAGCUCUCGCCAUUCAAAUCAUCAUAUUGACAGCAAAUUUGCAUAAUUUUCCUAGUUUGCUUUGCGGUUGAGGUCAGGUCUCUCCUGUUCUCAGUGGGUGGCCCCUGGGAAGCGGCCAAGUGGGGGCCUUAAACUGGGGGGGCAUCAGAGGCGCUUGGAGGGGUGAGAGAAGCCUGGGCGGAUGUGUGUGGGGGGUCUCUCUGGGGAGCAGCUUGCCAGGCCUCAGUGACAAUGCCUACCCACGGUGGCACAGCCCAGGAGAGCUGGGGUCUUCCCCGGAGACAGCAGGGACCUUCCUCCAGAGCAGGGUCUCAUGCCAACUGAUAAAUGGGCAGAGGCCAAAAGCGGGUAGUUCAGAGCUGUGACAUCCAAAUGGCUACUACGUAUAUGAAAAAUGAUUUUCUCACCAGGAAUCAGAAAUGCAAAGCCAAGCAAUACGGCCCUCGUGUGUCAUCCUCUGGGCUGAUGGUGUGACGGCCGAGAGCCUUGUUCAGCUCUGCCUCCUGGGACGGAACCGGCCGGUGUCCUUCCACACACUCCUUUGGGCCUGUCCACGCUGCUCUUGUCAAGCUGUCCCCAGGACAACGGAAAUGGACAACAGCGCUGCGCCUCUCGUGGCGCUGCGUGUCAUC
rnacentral:lncRNA from 1 species